GUUUGUGGGGUUUGGAGUAUGAUUAGAGUUCUAAUGGUUUUUUAGUGUAUCUGUGCAGAGAAAUGGAGAAGACGCUGAAGCUGAAGGGUGCAUGCAUGCUGGAUUACACCUAUCUCUCCCUCACGAAAGCCAUAAAGAAACCCAUGUACAAAAUUUGCAUCGGUACGUAGGUUGAUAUUUUUUUGUUUGAA